UGGGUGUCGGAUUCUAGAGAAGCCAAUCAGGGUCUCUGCGGUCCGGCUUCUAAAGUCCCCACUCAGACUCAGACUCUCCCCGGACGCCUAGGAUUGGGUCAUGGCGCCUCGAGCCCUCCUCCUGCUGCUCUCGGGGGCCCUGGCCCUGACCGAGACCUGGGCCCGCUCCCACUCCAUGAGGUAUUUCCACACCGCCGUGUCCCGGCCCGGCCGCGGGGAGCCCCGCUUCAUCUCCGUGGGUUACGUGGAUGACACGCAGUUCGUGCGGUUCGACAGCAACGCCGCGAGUCCGAGGAUGGAGCCGCGGGCGCCGUGGAUAGAGCAGGAGGGACCGGAGUAUUGGGACCGGGAGACACAGAAAGCCAAGGCCCACGCACAGGUUUUCCGAGUGAACCUGCGCACCGCGCUUCGCUACUACAACCAGAGCGAGGCCGGUGAGUGACCCGGCCCGGGGCGCAGGUCACGACCCCUCCCCAUGCCCCACGGACGGCCCGGGUCCGAGAUCCACCCCGAGGCAGCAGGACCAGCCCAAGACCCUCGACCUGGGAGUGCCGCGGGCGCCUUUGCCCGGUUUCGGUUUCAGUAUAGGCCGAAAUCCCCAAGGGUUGGUCGGGGCGGGGCGGGGCUCGGUGGGCGGGGCUGACCGCGGGGCCGGGGCCAGGUCUCACACCUUCCAGAGGAUGCAUGGCUGCGACCUGGGGCCAGACGGGCGCCUCCUCCGCGGGUAUCACCAGUUAGCCUAUGAUGGCAAGGAUUACAUCGCCCUGAACGGGGACCUGAGCUCCUGGAGCGCCGCGGAUAUGGCGGCUCAGGUCACACAGCGCAAGUGGGAGGCGGCCCGUGAAGCUGAGCAGCGGAGAGCCUACCUGGAGGGCGAGUGCCUGGAGUCGCUCCGCAGAUACCUGGAGAACGGGAAGGAGACGCUGCAGCGCGUGGAUCCCCCAAAGACACACGUCACCCACCACCUCGUCUCUGACCAUGAGGCCACCCUGAGGUGCUGGGCCCUGGGCUUCUACCCUGCGGAGAUCACACUGACCUGGCAGUGAGAUGAGGAGGAGCAAACUCAGGACACUGAGCUUGUGGAGACCAGGCCAGCAGGGGACAGAACCUUCCAGAAAUGGGCAGCUGUGGUGGUACCUUCUGGAGAAGAGCAGAGAUACAUGUGCCAUGUGCAGCACCAGGGGCUGCUGGAGCCCCUCACCCUGAGAUGGGAACGGGCUUCCCAGCCCUCCAUCCCCAUCGUGGGCAUCGUUGCUGGCCUGGCUGUCUUAGGAACUGUGGUCACCGUAGCUGUGGUUGCUGCUGUGAUGUGGUGGACAGAGAGCUCAGGGAGCAGCAGUGCCCAGGGCUCUGAUCAGGACUCUGAUGAGUCUCUCAUGGCCUGUAAAGCCUGAGACAGCUGCCUUGUGUGGGACUGAGAUGCAGGAUUUCUUCACGCCUCCCCUUUGUGACUUCAAGAGCUUCUGGCAUCUCUUUCUGCAAAGACAUCUGAAUGUGUCUGUGUCCCUGUCAGCAUAAUGUGAGGAGGUGGAGAGACAGCCCACCCCCGUGUCCACCGUGACCCCUGUUCCCACGCUGACCUGUGUUCCCUCCCCAGUCAUCUUUCCUGUUCCAGAGAGGUGGGACUGGAUGUCUCCAUCUCAGUCUCAACUUCAUGCUGCAUUGAGCUGCAACCUCUUACUUCCCUACUGAAAAUAAGAAUCUGAAUAGAAAUUUGUUUUCUCAAUAUUUGCCAUGAGAAGUUGAUGGGUUAAUUAAAUAAGUCAAUUCCUAAAAUUUGAGAGAGGAAAUAAAGACCUGAGAACCUUCCAGAA